CGUUGCUAUAUGAACCAACUUAUCUGACGACGUGAGGGAGGAGGAGAUAUGAACAGAUUUAAUGGGUUAUGGAUGCUGAACUUGAAGAGUCAGUUGGACAGGCAAUCUUUGAUUUGGAAACAGACUCGGACCUGAAAAGUGAACUGAAGGAUCUAUAUAUAAAUUCAGCUGUUCAAGUUGAUGUGGUUGGGAACCGGAAGGCGGUUGUUAUCCGCAGAUCAUAUAGACGUAGGAAGGCUUAUCGCAAGAUCCAUGUUCUGAUUGUGAGGGAGCUAGAGAAGAAAUUCAGUGGAAAGGAUGUAGUUCUGAUCGCCACACGAAGGAUAGUGAGGCCUCCAAAGAAAGGGUCUGCUGUCCAACGGCCCCGCACUCGUACUCUAACUGCUGUCCAUGAGGCAAUGUUGGAGGAUAUGUUGUUUUGCCUGCUGAGAUUGUUGGUAAACGAACUAGAUAUCGACUUGAUGGGUCCAAGAUAAUGAAGGUUUUCUUGGAUCCUAAGGAACGAAACAACACGGAGUACAAGCUGGAGAGCUUUUCUGCAGUUUACAGGAAGCUUUCAGGAAAAGAUGUUGUGUUUGAGUACCCAAUAACUGAUGCAUAGAAACAGUGUGCGAUGGCGCCUUCCAAAUAGGUUCCCGUCCCUUUUCUUUAUAUUUUCUAUGAACUUAUGCUCAUCAGGCAGUCAAUUCAAAAUUUUGAUGUUGAGGGCGCGGUGCAGCGUGCCUUUGGAUGGAUUUUGGUCUCUUCAAUAUUAGCACAUUUAAGUUAGGUGAUAUCGGUUAAUGUAGCAUUUUUUGUUUUCUCUUAGACUUACUCUUUUCAUUAUGCAUGGUCAUUGACAAGUUUGCUUUUAGUCUGGUGAUUUUGUUUUGUUUAUUUAAGUCUAUUGACCUAUUUUUCUCAAUGAAUAUGCACUGGAAACUAAAGAAGUUUCUAUGAACUAGUUAUGAUUCUUUGUAAUACAACCUCUGUAUUUGAUGCAGCAUGUUAUGCCAUUGCUUUUCUUAACUUCACUAA